rnacentral:rRNA from 1 species
GACGAACGCUGGCGGCGUGCUUAACACAUGCAAGUCGAACGGUGAAGCGCCUUCCUUUUUGGUGGGUGUGGAUGAGUGGCGAACGGGUGAGUAACACGUGAGUAACCUGCCCCCUUCUUCUGGAUAACCGCAUGAAAGUGUGGCUAAUACGGGAUAUUCUGGGUCUGUCGCAUGAUGGGUCUGGGAAAGAUAUUGUUUCGGUGGGGGAUGGGCUCGCGGCCUAUCAGCUUGUUGGUGGGGUGAUGGCCUACCAAGGCGGUGACGGGUAGCCGGCCUGAGAGGGUGGACGGUCACACUGGGGAGGAGGCACGGCCCAGACUCCUACGGGAGGCAGCAGUGGGGAAUAUUGCACAAUGGGCGCAAGCCUGAUGCAGCGACGCCGCGUGAGGGAUGGAGGCCUUCGGGUUGUGAACCUCUUUCGCCAGUGAAGCAGGCCUGCCUCGUUUGUGGGUGGGUUGACGGUAGCUGGAUAAGAAGCGCCGGCUAACUACGUG